GAUAGCAGAGAGCUCAUUCAUUGUGCCGGGGCGGGCCCGACUAUUUUAGCGUUGUGAUUGUGAUCCAGCCAAGCCAAAUAUAGUCGUAGACAGGUAUUUUUAGCCGGAAAGCGUGUCCCCAUUUUCAUUUGGCAAAGGAAACCUGGGCCAUAUAGAAAACAGUCUGAAGUGGGCUACGACUACAAAACCAGCACUAUCAGAGUCCACCUGAUAUUAGAUAGGUUUACAGUAAGCUGAUAGUGCCGACAGAGAAAAGAAGUGUAGGAGUAAUCGAGGGUAAAUCUGACCACAGGUUCCCUUUUCUACCCGUGGACGAGGUUGGAAAAGCGGGGAAAGAGAGACCGUAGUCUCGUGAAGCAGACCCAGAGCAGCUCUUCCUGGCCAGUUGGGGUAUCAGCUGCCUCGACUGUGUGACCUCACUACAGUGACGUGUAAUCCAGAUUAACCAGCAGUCUUUAUUCCGCCAGACGUGGAAGUGAUUAGAGAUUAUGACGUGUCCUUUUAAUAGAAUUGGACGUGUGGGUAAUCAACUGCGUCCACCAGCAUCCCAUGUCAGGAUAGCUGAAGAAAGACAGGAAAUGUGGGGAGUAGAGACUGGGGGA